UCGGGAAUUUUGCGCAAUGGACGAAAGUCUGACGCAGCAACGCCGCGUGAGGGAUGACGGCCUUCGGGUUGUAAACCUCUUUUGUCAGGGACGAUAAUGACGGUACCUGACGAAUAAGCCACGGCUAACUACGUGCCAGCAGCCGCGGUAAUACGUAGGUGGCAAGCGUUGUCCGGAUUUACUGGGA
rnacentral:rRNA from 1 species